UUCACGCGGCAAAAGUGACGCUGGCGGCGAACAUGGAACGGAUCAGCUCCGAGAGUGGUAGCGCGAUUCGAUCAAAUGAUCGUGGAUACGAACUGAUUCCGAAACAAGUGGCAACGAGAUUCGAUCAAAUGAGAGAUUAGUAUUGCAUCUAUUACAACCCUUUUGCAAAUAUCAUGACGCGAAUACAAUCUGACAAACAUUUUUCACUUAUGAAGAAGAACAAUUGGACUGAAUGAGAAGACAAUUCGAGAAGGGGAGGAGGCCUAGGAGAGGCAUUAGGCGUCAAUGAAACAAUCUUGCCAAUCAUCAUAGCUACCUGGAUGAUAACUCCAUUAUUGCACAUCGUUCGAAUACGACAUAAGGUAGUGGAUAAUUUAAUGGCUCGUCCCAUGACUUUAGGGACUCACCUGAGUGGAAACUUUAUCAAUGGCCGUGGUCUUACACAUCGUAGGAGAUGAGACGGUGCCGAAGAAAGAGGAGUGGCGGGAUCGAAGGAUGUUCAGAAGGGUGAAUUUUCGUGAUGUCGACAAGUAAUCGUCGUUCGUU